rnacentral:tRNA from 1 species
GCCAACAUAGCUCAGUAGGUAGAGCGUCGCCAUGGUAAGGCGGAGGUCACCAGUUCGAUCCUGGUUGUUGGCUCCA